CAAUAUGCCGACAUUCGUGUA
rnacentral:misc_RNA from 1 species